UCAGUGGAGAGGCCGUGAGUCUAGUGACAGCAUGCAUUCGACGUUCUAAAAGCUCGCAUGCGUCGCUAGACGAACUCGCGAAGUUGUCACAGGUUGUCAUUUGAGGCAUGAACGACAAAUGCGGUCGUGAUAGCCGAGCGGAACGUCUAAAACGCGCACGAUGCACAGUAUGGGUCCACUCCUCCUACAAAGCAUCCAAGAUGUUGCGUGCUUUGGAAAUUGCCAGAAAUGAAUUGUGCCAACUUCCUAGAGAUCGUUCACCUGUGUAGGGUGUUAUGUCUGUUUAAUCUCUUAUGAACACAAAAUUGUGACAGUGAUAUGACAAUGUUUACUGGCUGCUGCCUUGGAUCUGUGAUCUUGAGUCAAGUGAAUUUGGGUUCCUUGUCUUUGGCAUCCCCGGAGCAGUCCCCUUCAUUGGUGACGGUACAAGUGGAACUGCAUUCCUGCCAGCACUGCAGCUAUGUGACCAAGAAAAAGGCAGAUUUGAAGAGACACCUUCGCUUGCACACGGGUGAGCGCCCCUUCCAGUGUAACGAGUGUCCAGCUGCAUUCACCCAGAGAACACAUCUCAUGGAUCAUGUGCGCGCCCACACAGGAGAGCGUCCCUUUUCCUGUGUCCACUGCACUGCAUGCUUUAGGCGAAAGGACAACCUCAGAGACCACACGUUUCGUCGUCAUGGAAUGGAGAUGCCAUAAAGGUUCCUUGUCUUCCACAUCCCUGCAGCAGUACCGUUCAGAUGUGUUCGUAGACAGCGGACUGCAUUCCUGCCAGUAUUGCACCUAUGCGACCAAGAAUAAGACGCACAUGAAAGUGAUUUCAACAAGACUGAAGUUGGGAACACAACAAAUUCAUUCAUGUUAAAGUAAAUAUGUGUAAAGCAUUCGUAUUGAGAAGUGGUAAUGACAUUUAUUAGCAGGAAAGUUAUGCAAGACAUGCAUCCCGAACACAUGACAAAAGACAGUGGUUUGCAAGUGAUGUUUAAGAUGAAUGGCUGGUGAGCGAAUUGUGCUGUAUUACUUGUCAGUAAACAUGUUAUCUAGCAAGACCGAGGAACCAGAAUUGGAAGGAAACGUGAACUUCUUGUUGGACUAGAAAUGUGCAUCUAUCCUCAAGAUGAAUGUAUAGACAAAAUAAGACCGACUGCAAACCUUUUGCUUUAUAGAAUGGUGCUGAGCGUCUUGAUGCAAUCUGUAUUUUGUGAAGGAAACUGCUGGCAUCACGGGAAACAUGUCAAGUGUAUUAAAAUGCUUGCAUGCCAGUAGUUAUUAAACAUGUUUUUUUCUCUCCUUGUGAAACGCAUAUCUGUGAUGUGCUUUAGCAUUGGGCUUUGAUACAAAAUGAGGGCUCAUAUAUUGCCAUUGGAACUUAUUUAGUUAUUUACUUGCAAAAUACACAUUGCGGCCACCACGGUUUCCGUCCAGCUCUCAUUUGUGGCUGUGCAUAUGCUGCCAGCUUCUGAUUAAGCACAGUGGGCAAUUCUCGAGAGCUUGCAGACGAAUAUCAUGAAAAGAGCCCUUUCACCAUGGCCACAAGCCCAAUUUCCUUCGAAAUACUCUGAAAAUGUCUGACUCUGAUGGGGCUUUGUAAUUUUCGCCCACUGUAGUGGGUGCAUGAGCAAUCUUUGUUAACACAAUGUUGCAAAUGUACUUUGACGUCAAGUUGCAGGCAUUAUUUUAAUGUAAUGGCAACAAUGCAUGCUGCUCGGCAGUGUACGACAGGCAGCCUGAGUCCGCGAUGCUUGUGCUGAAGUGUAUGAUCCGGAAUAAAAAAAGAAUUCUGCAAUUAUUAGUUU